UCUCCCGCCCACUCCUCUCUCUCUCCUCCUUUCACCACCACCACCGUAUCCUCACCACAUCGCCGUACCUUCGCCGCUAGACAGCUCCGCCGCCAGCCAUCUUACUUGUUGAAGAAAAGGAGCAAAAGAUUCAAGCUUCCUUUCAGUUCAAUUUCAGGUCAUUGCUGACGGCUGGUUCCAAAUCCAAAACCCUAAGCUCUUUGUUCCGUUCCUCUACUAAAUUAUCAAAACAAUAGAAAUCCGCUACUACACCUUCAACUGCCCAAAAACAAUAUGUAUCUUCCAUUAACUCAACAUCUAAUGUUUCUUCUAAGCCUCUCAGUGAAAUAAUAGCCGAAUGCAUCAACUUUAAUGACUCUGGUCAUGCAGUAUGAAGUUCAAAAAUUUCCCUUGUGGAAGAUUUCACUAUGAUGAAGAGUUUGGAAAAUUAUUUGAAGACAUUAAUCGGUAGGACUAGUUAUUUAUUUCAAACAAGAUCAUUUUAUUUUUUUAGGUUGUGACAUUGAUAUUUUGGAUUAGUACUUUCUUUUAUUUGUUUAGAUUUAAUAAGAUAUUUUUUUAAUGAAUUAAUUGUCUUUUAGCACUUUCCAAUCUUUCGUUGCUUCUAGCCCACUACGAGCUCCCUUAUACUAGUAAUUGUAUUUUCUGAAUGUAGUAGCUUAAUGUUUUAUGUAUUUAUAGUAGUUUGGUGUAUUGUUGGCA